GAAAUGUGCCCGAAACAUAAGGACUAUUUUGAUAAAAUAGACACAGAGGCCUCCCCUCUCAUUUCCA
rnacentral:tRNA from 1 species